UCCGCUACCAGCAGUGACGGUAGGCCCUUCGGGGUACACGAGCGGCGAACGGGUGAGUAACACGUGAGCAACCUGCCCCUGACUCCGGGAUAAGCGGUGGAAACGCCGUCUAAUACCGGAUAUGACACACCAUCUCCUGGUGGUGUGUGGAAAGUUUUAUCGGUCAGGGAUGGGCUCGCGGCCUAUCAGCUUGUUGGUGGGGUAAAGGCCUACCAAGGCGAUUACGGGUAGCCGGCCUGAGAGGGCGACCGGCCACACUGGGACUGAGACACGGCCCAGACUCCUGCGGGAGGCAGCAGUGGGGAAUAUUGCACAAUGGGCGAAAGCCUGAUGCAGCGACGCCGCGUGGGGGAUGACGGCCUUCGGGUUGUAAACCUCUUUUACCACCAACGCAGGCCCCGGGUUCUCUCGGGGUUGACGGUAGGUGGGGAAUAAGGACCGGCUAACUACGUGCCAGCAGCCGCGGUAAUACGUAGGGUCCGAGCGUUGUCCGGAAUUAUUGGGCGUAAAGAGCUCGUAGGCGGCGUGUCGCGUCUGCUGUGAAAGACCGGGGCUUAACCCCGGUUCUGCAGUGGAUACGGGCAUGCUAGAGGUAGGUAGGGGAGACUGGAAUUCCUGGUGUAGCGGUGAAAUGCGCAGAUAUCACGAGGAACACCGGUGGCGAAGGCGGGUCUCUGGGCCUUACCUGACGCUGAGGAGCGAAAGCAUGGGGAGCGAACAGGAUUAGAUACCCUGGUAGUCCAUGCCGUAAACGUUGGGCGCUAGGUGUGGGGACUUUCCACGGUUUCCGCGCCGUAGCUAACGCAUUAAGCGCCCGCCUGGGGAGUACGGCCGCAAGGCUAAAACUCAAAGGAAUUGACG
rnacentral:rRNA from 1 species